rnacentral:misc_RNA from 1 species
ACAAACUUGGUCAUUUAGAGGAAGUAAAAGUCGUAACAAGGUUUCCGUAGGUGAACCUGCGGAAGGAUCAUUAUCGACUGAUAACAAUCAUUGUGAACCAUGUGUGCAAUUAUUGAGGAAUCGAAAGAGGGGAAAAUUUUUUCCUCCUUUUUUUUUUUCCAUCACGUAUUAUAUUUGUCGUUUAUUAUAAUAUUUUAAAUAAAACGAAAAAACUUUCAACAACGGAUCUCUUGGCUCUCGCAUCGAUGAAGAACGCAGC